CUACUGCCCCUAACUCCUUUCUAAUGCACAUAACCACUCACUACUGCCUCUAACCCAUUGCUAUUGCCACUAACCCCCUACUAACGCCCUUACCACCCACUGCUACCCCUAAUCACCUACUAUAACCCCUCACCACCCAAUACUGCCCCUAACCCCACACUAAUGGCCCUAACCCCCUACUAUUGCCCCUAACCACCCCCUACAGGUUCUAACCACCUACUAUGGCCCCUAGCCAUCCA